GAUGAACGCUGACAGAAUGCUUAACACAUGCAAGUCCACUUGAACUUCGGUUUGGGUGGCGGACGGGUGAGUAACGCGUAAAGAACUUGCCUCACAGAUAGGGACAACAUUUGGAAACGAAUGCUAAUACCUGAUAUUAUGAUUAUAUGGCAUCGUAUAAUUAUGAAAGCUAUAUGCGCUGUGAGAGAGCUUUGCGUCCCAUUAGCUAGUUGGAGAGGUAACGGCUCACCAAGGCGAUGAUGGGUAGCCGGCCUGAGAGGGUGAUCGGCCACAAGGGGACGGAGACACGGCCCUUACUCCUACGGGAGGCAGCAGUGGGGAAUAUUGGACAAUGGACCAAGAGUCUGAUCCAGCAAUUCUGUGUGCACGAUGAAGUUUUUCGGAAUGUAAAGUGCUUUCAGUUGGGAAGAAAAAAAUGACGGUACCAACAGAAGAAGUGACGGCUAAAUACGUG
rnacentral:rRNA from 1 species